GAUUGCUGUACGCAGUAAAAUCUGAGCUGCUCUGUAUAUCAGUCUCUGAAUGAUGUAGUAGAUAUAUAUACUCUCUGCAACCCUGUUUUCUUAUAGUAACAGUCAAAUGUUUGAAACUAUUUUAAUACUGUUCAAAGAUGGCCGUCUCCUUGCUGAAACACUAGAAGAUCUUGUAACAUAUUUUUGCUAUUCUUAGGAAGGUAUAUUAAAAAGCAACAUUGUUUCAAAUUGAUAUGUGACGAUUUUCAGAUGGCCGUUCCACUUUGAGCAAGUCCUCAAAUAAUGGAACAGGGAGAGGUAUCAUGUUAUGAGUGCCGUAAGUGUCUUUUGUCAGUAUACAGCAAUAUGAUGGCUGCCUGAGAAAAUAAGGACAAUAUGCCACAGAUUUGUGGUUAACACUCUUAAAGAAUUAGCA